rnacentral:rRNA from 1 species
CCUACGGGAGGCAGCAGUGGGGAAUUUUGCGCAAUGCUCGUAAGAGUGACGCAGCGACGCCGCGUGAAUGACGAAGGCCUUCGGGUCGUAAAGUUCUUUCGACAGGGAAGAAAAUGCCUAUAAGUAACUGUGUAUGUAUUGACGGUACCUGUAUAAGCAGCGCCGGCUAACUCCGUGCCAGCAGCCGCGGUAAUACGGAGGGGGCGAGCGUUGUUCGGAGGGACUGGGCGUAAAGAGCACGUAGGCGGGGUUGUAAGUCAUUAGUCAAAGACUAGAGCUCAACUUUAGUAAGGCUAGUGAUACUAUAAUACUAGAGUAUCAGAGAGGAUUGCAGAAUUCCUGGUGUAGCUGUGAAAUGCGUAGAUAUCAGGAGGAAUACCGUUAGCGAAGGCGGCAAUCUGGCUGGAAACUGACGCUGAGGUGCGAAAGCGUGGGUAGCAAACAGGAUUAGAUACCCUAGUAGUC